UACGUAGGCAGCGAGCGUUGUUCGGAGUUACUGGGCGUAAAGCGUGCGUAGGCGGUGGUCCAAGUCUGGUGUGAAAUCUCCCGGCUCAACUGGGAGGGUGCGCCGGAAACUGGGCCGCUGGAGUAUGGGAGAGGCAAGCGGAAUUCCAGGUGUAGCGGUGAAAUGCGUAGAUAUCUGGAGGAACACCCGUGGUGCAGACGGCUUGCUGGACCAUGACUGACGCUGAGGCACGAAAGCGUGGGGGAGCAAACAGG
rnacentral:rRNA from 1 species